GGUUCGAUGGCGUAGUUGGUUAUCGCAUCCGUCUUACAUUGCACUCCUCUGGUUAAUUGUAAGUCCACGGAAGGUCCUCGGUUCGAGCCCGGGUCGAGCCA